GAAUAGAUACCCGGGUAGUCCACGCCGUAAAUGAUGAGUGCUAAGUGUUAGAGGGUUUCCGCCCUUUAGUGCUGCAGCUAACGCAUUAAGCACUCCGCCUGGGGAGUACGGCCGCAAGGCUGAAACUCAAAGGAAUUGACGGGGGCCCGCACAAGCGGUGGAGCAUGUGGUUUAAUUCGAAGCAACGCGAAGAACCUUACCAGGUCUUGACAUCCUCUGACAACCCUAGAGAUAGGGCUUUCCCCUUCGGGGGACAGAGUGACAGGUGGUGCAUGGUUGUCGUCAGCUCGUGUCGUGAGAUGUUGGGUUAAGUCCCGCAACGAGCGCAACCCUUGAUCUUAGUUGCCAGCAUUCAGUUGGGCACUCUAAGGUGACUGCCGGUGACAAACCGGAGGAAGGUGGGGAUGACGUCAAAUCAUCAUGCCCCUUAUGACCUGGGCUACACACGUGCUACAAUGGAUGGUACAAAGGGCUGCAAACCUGCGAAGGUAAGCGAAUCCCAUAAAGCCAUUCUCAGUUCGGAUUGC
rnacentral:rRNA from 1 species